rnacentral:rRNA from 1 species
AGGGCGUAUGGUGGAUGCCUUGGCAGACAGGACCGAUGAAGGACGUUUGAGGCUGCGAUAUGCCUCGGGGAGCCGCCAACAGGGCUUUGAUCCGAGGAUUUCCGAAUGGGGGAACCCACCGACCGUCAUGGGUCGGUACCGGCUUCGGCCGGGGGGUACGCAGGGAAGUGAAACAUCUCAGUACCUGCAGGAAAGGAUAUUCCGUGAGUAGUGGCGAGCGAAAGCGGAUGAUGGCCAAACCUUGCGCGUGUGAUACCCGUCGGGGGUUGCGCGCGGGGUGUUGCGGGAUCGCGUGCGCCGGCUCCGACGGGCCGGCCGGCAGUUGCAGAAAACCAUGUGUCAGGGGAACCGGGUUGAAUACCGGGCCGCAGAGGGUGAGGGCCCCGUACCUGAACGCGCAUGGUCUGCCGAUCGCGUCUCCCAAGUAGCACGGGUCCCGUGGAACCCCGUGCGAAUCCGCCCAGACCGUUGGGUAAGCCUGAAUAUUCCUGUCUGACCGAUAGCGAACGAGUACCGUGAGGGAAAGGUGAAAAGUACCCCGGGAGGGGAGUGAAACAGUCUCUGAAACCGUGCGCCUACAAUCCGUCGGAGCCCUUUUGUGGGGUGACGGCGUGCCUAUCGAAAAAUGAGUCUGCGAGUCAGUGGCAUGUGGCGAGCAUAACCCGUGUGGGGUAUGCGUAGCGAAGGCGAGUCUUAAAAGGCGUUUGAGUCGCGUGUCCUGGACCCGAAGCGGGAUGAUCUAGCCCUGAGCAGGUUGAAGCGCGGGUAAGACCGCGUGGAGGACCGAACCCACCUGGGUUGAAAACCGGGGGGAUGACUUGGGGCUAGGGGUGAAAGGCCAAUCAAAUUCCGUGAUAGCUGGUUCUCUCCGAAAUGCAUUUGGGUGCAGCGUCGGGUCAUUACGUCCCGGGGGUAGAGCUACUGGAUGCUUGCGGGCCCGUAUCGGGUACCAACAGCAACCAAACUCCGAAUACCGGUGACGCGUAUCCCGGCAGUGAGUCGGCGGGGGAUAAGCUUCGUCGUCGAAAGGGAAACAGCCCAGACCGUCGUCUAAGGUCCCGAAGCGUGUGCUAAGUGGGAAAGGAUGUGGAGUCGCAUAGACAGCCAGGAGGUUGGCUCAGAAGCAGCCACCCUUGAAAGAGUGCGUAACAGCUCACUGGUCUAGUGGUUCCGCGCCGACAAUGUAGCGGGGCUCAAGCACACCACCGAAGACGCGGCAGUAUUUUGUACUGGGUAGGAGAGCGUCCCAUGAGGGGCGAAGCGGCCGUGUGAACGCGCCGUGGACUUCAUGGGAGUGAGAAUGCAGACAUGAGUAGCGAGAGACGGGUGAAGAUCCCGUCCGCUGGAUGACCAAGGGUUCCAGGGCCACGUUCAUCGUCCCUGGGUGAGUCGGGUCCUAAGGCGAGGCCGACAGGCGUAGUCGAAUGGAUGAACGGGUCGAUAUUCCCGUACCGGCUUUCAGCCGCCAAAACCGAGGCUUGGAGUACUAACCUCCGGGUCCGGGCUUACUGCUCCUUCGGGGGCGGGAUGCCCUGGCCUGUUGGGACCGAUCCUUGUAGUAGGUCAGCGCAGGAGUGACGCAGAAGGGUAGCCGGCCGCGGAGGUGGUCUUCCGUGGUCAAGCACGCAGGGCGUGGGACAGGCAAAUCCGUCCCGCAUGGGUCCGAGGUGCGAUGAUGGGGGCCUUAUGGCCCGAUAUCCGGUGAUCCCGGCUGCCGAGAAAAGCUUCGGCGUCAGGCUCGAAGCCGCCCGUACCCCAAACCGACACUGGUGGUCAGGUAGAGAAUACCAAAGCGAUCGAGCGAAUCCUGGUCAAGGAACUCGGCAAAUCACUCCCGUUCCUUCGGUUUAAGGGAGACCCCCGAUGGUGAACACACUUGCUGUGGGAGCUUUUGGGGGUGGCACAGACCAGGGGGUAGCGACUGUUUACCAAAAACACAGGUGCAUGCGAAGGCGCAAGCCGCUGUAUAUGCACUGACGCCUGCCCGGUGCCGGAAGGUUAAGAGGAUCCGUCAGCCUUCGGGUGAAGCGGUGAAUUCAAGCCCCGGUAAACGGCGGUGGUAACUAUAACCAUCCUAAGGUAGCGAAAUUCCUUGUCGGGUAAGUUCCGACCUGCACGAAUGGCGUAACGACUUCCCCACUGUCUCGACCAGGAGCUCGGCGAAAUUGCAGUACGAGUAAAGAUGCUCGUUAAGCGCAGAAGGACGAAAAGACCCCGGGACCUUUACUAUACCUUGGUAUUGGCAUUCGGUGUGGAUUGUGUAGC